CAGGACUUCAGCACGAGCCAACGGUGUA
rnacentral:sRNA from 1 species